GACGAACGCUGGCGGCGUGCUUAACACAUGCAAGUCGAGCGAGGUCCAUCCGGUGGCAACACCGGGGAAGACCUAGCGGCGAACGGGUGAGUAACACGUGAGCAACCUGCCCCGAAGACUGGGAGUAACACCGGGAAACCGGGUGCUAAUACCGGACUGCCCUCCACCGGGCCGCAUGACCUGGUGAGGAAAUAGAAUUUUGUCUUCGGGUAGGGGCGUCGCGGGCGUAUCAGCUUGUUGGUGGGGUAACGGCUCACCAAGGCUACGACGGCUAGCUGGUCUGAGAGGACGAUCAGCCACACUGGGACUGAGACACGGCCCAGACUCCUACGGGAGGCAGCAGUGGGGAAUCUUGCGCAAUGGGCGAAAGCCUGACGCAGCAACG
rnacentral:rRNA from 1 species